CUAUUCAUCUAAUUCUUCUUCCUUAAGAAAGAACUGUAUUUGACCCAGCCUUUUGAAAAGUUGUACCAAUAUUUGUAUACAUCUUUCAUAUAUUUUUUUCUCUAAUAGGUGCUUUUUUUUUUUUCCUGAAGCUUUGGUAGUGUAACUGAAAGAGUCCUGGAAUUGGAAAAGAAAAUCCAGAAGUUGAGUUCCAUGACUUUUUUGCUGUUUGCCUUUGGAAUUUUUACUGAACACUACAAUGACCGUAUAAAAAGAAAAAUUGAUAGCAGAGUUGGAAACUAGCAAAAGAUGACAUCUCUAAGCCUGAAAGCCAGAAGGAAUGUUGGGAAUAUAUUGUUUAGGGGAUAACUUUGCAGAAAGGUCAGCAAACAUGCAAGCUACAACAUGAGAAGAAAUCUGUUCCAGAGCUCAGAGUGGGUGGGAAGGACAAAGUGGGAGCUGCCGGGGCAGAAGGGAAGGCUGGUGAAUAGUCUAUAAUGGAGAUUCUGGCUGCAAUUAAAUCACUUGAAGACAUUUUUAUUAACAU
rnacentral:lncRNA from 1 species